rnacentral:rRNA from 1 species
UACGUAGGUGACAAGCGUUAUCCGGAUUUAUUGGGCGUAAAGCGCACGCAGGCGGCUCUUCAAGUCUGACGUGAAAUCUCUCGGCUCAACUGGGAGGGGUCAGGCGAUACGGCGGGGCUCGAGGCAGGUAGGGGGAAGCGGAAUUCCCGGUGUAGUGGUGGAAUGCGUAGAUAUCGGGAGGAACACCAGUGGCGAAGGCGGCUUCCUGGACCUGAUCUGACGCUGAGGAGCGAAAGCGUGGGGAGCGAUCCGG